ACGACUCUCGGCAACGGAUAUCUCGGCUCUCGCAUCGAUGAAGAACGUAGCAAAAUGCGCUACUUGGUGUGAAUUGCAGAAUCCCGUGAAUCAUCGAGUUUUUGAACGCAAGUUGCGCCUGAAGCCAUUAGGCCGAAGGCACGUCUGCCUGGGCGUCUCGC
rnacentral:rRNA from 1 species